GGAAGAGGAAGAGGAAGAGGAAGAAGAGUUAACAUUCCUUGUGCUGGCAGCUGAACCCAGUAAUGUGUAAGAGUCUCCCAGGUGGUAACGGUUACGGCUUGGCACUAGAAGAGGCCAUUGGUAAAGGUAAAGCCUCAGAUGCAGUGGAAACCCCAGAAUUGAAGGAUCAUGGAGAGAAGUUGAAGCUUAUACCAUAUUGCCAGAUCAGUCCACUGAAGACAGCUUAAAGAGAAGCUGUUGAUGAAAGUGCAGCUUGGUUCCAGCAGGGAUCCUGGUAUUUUGGAGAUGCCAGACCAUGAAGUGACAACCAAGGACAGCAGCAGCAAUGGAGUAGAGCCAACCUGAGCCUAGGAGACAAUCUUUAUUUGCUGCUUGUGGUAGAACAAGAGAAUUAGAACUGCUUAGGCCUUCUGGAGCCCAGCAGGUCAUGACUGAAUCCCAGGACCACCUGCCCAGAGGUGACACUGCUUACAGUAGACUGGGACCUCCUGCCUCAAUCAUUAAUCAAGAAGAUGCCAGCAGACUGAUUUCUGGAGAGACUGCCUUUAGCGCUUCUUAACAUUGUCCAUGGCCAUUACAACAUCAAAAAGAGGCCUGAGCCAAACGCUCUUCACAGGAAACUGGACAGGAACCUGGCAUCGCCGUUCUCAGAGACGCUCCACCUAGCAACCAAUGGAAAGAGAUACAGGGACUCACACCCAAACGUUAGAUGCAACCCAGGAAGUUUUAUGGAAGAGUUGGGAGAAAGACUGAGGAACCUGAAGAGCACAGGGACUCCACAGUAUCCAACCGAGUCAGCUAACCUGGGACCUCGGGAGCUCUCAGAGACUGAAUCACCAACCGAAGAGCAGUCUGUGUCAGGUAAGCGGCUUUUUCUUCAUGUGGGUCCCCCAAACAACUGGAGCAGGGCUGUCCCUGAGCCCGUUGCCUGCCCACCUGUGGACCCUGUACCUCUUAAUGGACAACCGUGUCUGGCCUCAGCGGGAGGGAAUGUGCCUGGUCCUGCAGUGACUUGAUGUGCAG
ensembl:lncRNA